GAUGAACGCUGACAGAAUGCUUAACACAUGCAAGUCAACUUGAACUUCGGUUUGGGUGGCGGACGGGUGAGUCACGCGUAAAGAACUUGCCUCACAGUUAGGGACAACAUUUGGAAACGAAUGCUAAUACCUGAUAUUAUGAUUUUAGGGCAUCCUAGAAUUAUGAAAGCUAUAUGCGCUGUGAGAGAGCUUUGCGUCCCAUUAGCUAGUUGGAGAGGUAACGGCUCACCAAGGCGAUGAUGGGUAGCCGGCCUGAGAGGGUGAACGGCCACAAGGGGACUGAGACACGGCCCGUACUCCUACGGGAGGCAGCAGUGGGGAAUAUUGGACAAUGGACCAAGAGUCUGAUCCAGCAAUUCUGUGUGCACGAUGAAGUUUUUCGGAAUGUAAAGUGCUUUCAGUUGGGAAGAAAAAAAUGACGAUACCAACAGAAGAAGUGACGGCUAAAUACGUG
rnacentral:rRNA from 1 species